UAGGGAAUCUUCGGCAAUGGACGAAAGUCUGACCGAGCAACGCCGCGUGAGUGAAGAAGGUUUUCGGAUCGUAAAACUCUGUUGGUAGAGAAGAACGUUGGUGAGAGUGGAAAGCUCAUCAAGUGACGGUAACUACCCAGAAAGGGCGGCUAACUACGUACCAG
rnacentral:rRNA from 1 species